AUAAAAUAAAGAAACACACGUUUUUUUCAUUCUACAGGAUCAACCUGCCACAUUAUAUUAUAUAACCUUGUGGAUCAACAUCUUUGUGUUGUUUAUAACGAUACAAAUGACUCUUUAAGCUUUUAUUUUGGACUGUGGCUCUUCUCCAGCUGAAGACAUCUUAUAUUUAUUCCUCACCAAACUUUUAGAAACAAAGAUUGAGAAAAAAAAUUGGCUCCAUUGCUUGUUAAGUUUUCAAAUAAAUAAAAUAUUUAAAACAAAUAACCCUGUUCUGAUAGCUUUAUGCUUCUCAUUUAAUUUUUAUGGUGAUGUUCCAGGGAAACACAGGACCGCCAGGACUAAAGGGAGAUCAAGGAUUAGAGGGGAAGCAGGGUUUACCUGGACCCACUGGACUUCCGGGACUGCCAGGACUUUUAGGAGAGCCAGGCUCAAAAGGGGAGCCAGGGGCAGCAGGAAGAGAUGGCCUAAAAGGAGAAAAGGGAGAUUCUGGUGGAUUACCAGGACCACCAGGACUUCCUGGUCCAAAGGGGGAGCCUGGAGAACCCAGUGUUGGAUCUUUGAGUGAUGGAUCUUCUUCAACAAGAGGUUCUCGAGGACCUAAGGGUGAAAGAGGAAUGCCAGGAUUACCGGGCGAACAUGGAGAAAAGGGUGAACCUGGUGAGAGCAUCAUUGGCCCCGCGGGAGCCUCUGGC
rnacentral:lncRNA from 1 species